rnacentral:piRNA from 1 species
UGAGGUGUCACUACAUAUUCUCAGAUGCU